rnacentral:ncRNA from 1 species
AGCUGGGUAUAGGGGCGAAAGACUAAUCGAACCAUCUAGUAGCUGGUUCCAUCCGAAGUUUCCCUCAGGAUAGCUGGCGCCGAUGUGUCCCGCCCGUUCGCGGGCGUACGGACGCCGGUGGGACUCCGCGCUGUACGGCGCGGUAACAACACGCUCGUAACACGGAGGAUGUCUCAUACGGUAAAGCGAAUGAUUAGAGGACAUUGGGGCCGAAACGACCUCAACCUAUUCUCAAACUAUAAAUGAGUGAGAUCGCCGGCUUUACCUGGUACACCGCGUGAACCGCGUGCGAAGCCGGCGACGGAACCCUAGGCGCUUAGUGGGCCAUUUUUGGUAAGCAGAACUGGCGCUGCGGGAUGAACCGAACGCCGAGUUAAGGCGCCGAAAUCGACGCGUAUUCAGAGACCAUGAAAGGCGUUGGUUGCUGAUGACAGCAGGACGGUGGCCAUGGAAGUCGGAAUCCGCUAAGGAGUGUGUAACAACUCACCUGCCGAAGCAACUAGCUCUGAAAAUGGAUGGCGCUGGAGCGUCGUGCCUAUACUCGGCCGUCGACGGCAUAGUGGGGCCAGUCGUCGCUCGCGGCGGCCGGUCCCGGCAAGCCUCGACGAGUAGGAUGGCGCGGCGGUGUGCGUCGAAGGGCAGGUCGCGAGACCGCCUGGAGCCGCCGUCGGUGCAGAUCUUGGUGGUAGUAGCAAAUACUCGAGAGGGGCCCUCGGGGGCUGCCGUGGAGAAGGGUUUCUUGUGAACAGCCGUUGUCCAAGAGUCAGUCGAUCCUAAGCCCGGGGAGAGAUCCUCGUACCACGGGGCGAAGGCGUUUUCGAAUCGCCCUUGGGGCGAGAGGGAAUCCGGUUCGUAUUCCGGAACCCGACGCGGAACCGCUCCCUAGUGUUCGGGGCUCUUUUUGUCUCGUCUGGGUAACCAGAAUGAACUCGAAGAAGCCGCCGGGGGAUCUGGGUAGAGUUCUCUUUUCUCUGUGAGCGUUGUACGUCCCUGGAAUCCUCUAUCCGGGCGAUAGGGGACGCGAGCGCGAAAAGCACCGCUCGUUGCGGCGGUGUCCGGUGAUCCCCACGCGGACCUUGAAAAUU